rnacentral:rRNA from 1 species
UACGUAGGGGGCGAGCGUUGUCCGAAGUUACUGGGCGUAAAGCGCGUGUAGGCGGGUCUUUAAGUGAGGGGUGAAAGGUUCGGGCUCAACCCGGACACUGCCUUUCAUACUGGGGACCUUGAGUGCAGAAGAGGCGAGUGGAAUGGUCGGUGUAGCGGUGAAAUGCGUAGAUAUCGAUCGGAACACCCAUGGCGAAGGCAGCUCGCUGGUCUGUGACUGACGCUGAGACGCAAAAGCGUGGGGAGCAAACAGG